UGACCACUCCCCGGGGAGUUAAGCCCAUACGGACAGGCGGGUCAGUUGCCG
rnacentral:sRNA from 1 species